rnacentral:lncRNA from 1 species
CUGAGAAAACAUUUCUUAACCUCCCUCAGAUCAUAAGUGUUCAUUCUCUUAUAUCUUUGAAUGGUUGGUGGGUUUAACUCUUACAUCUUGGUCAUAAUUCAUUUGGAUUAGUUUUUCUAUAUUGUAUGAAGAGGUAUGAUUUCCUUCUUUAAAUAAUAUCUACCUGCCAUGAUUAAUACCAGUUAGCAGGCCAUUUUUCCUCAUUAAGUUGCCUUGGUACACUUGAAAAACUAAACUGACCUAAGCCUGGGUCCUUAUUUCUUAACUGUCAAUUGCAUUUUAUUGCUCUGUAUGUCUCCUGUGAGCCAGUACACACUUGAUGACUGCAGGCAUGAAGUAUGUUUUAGAAUGCAUAUUGAGAGUUCACAAAUUUUCUGGUUUUGUUCUAAAGGUUGUUUUGGCUAUUGUUGAGUCUCUGAAUGUCUGUAUAAAUUUUAGACUAAACUCAUUAAUGUCUUGGGAAAUGCCGCUGAGGGACUUAUAUGGAUUGUAUCGAGUCAUAGGCUGAUUUGGAGAGAAUUGUUAUCUUAACCAUAGUUUUGUCUUUUGAGCCAGAGCAUGGAUAUCUUUGUCUUCUUUAGAGCUUAUUUCAUUUCUUAGUGAUUCUUUUGUUUUCAUGUUCAAGUCUUAUUCUCACUUGUAAAACGUAGUCUAAGAAUUCUUUUCAAGCUACUGUAAGUGAAUUCAACUUUGUAAAUUUUGGAGUUGUUUGUAGCUAGUACUGUACGCUUUCUAGGGUUUGUGCUAUUGCUUUCAACCUUGCUGAACAUUUGAAAAAAUUCUAGCAGGACUUUUAGGUGUGAGCUCUCUUGGAUUUUUCUGUGUUCCAGCAAUAUCAUCUGGGUGAUAGGUACUGUCCGAUUUACUCUAUGAGCCCAAAUACAUGUUGUUUUCUUGCCAAACCUCUCUGACUCUGACAUCCAGAAUAGCAUAAGUGGGGAGGUGUGACAUGCCUGUCCCACUCCUGGGCUUAGUUGGUUAGUUGGAGGCUUAAAGCCUUAUACAAUUGGUAUUAUGUAUCAUGUACUGAGUAUUAUGCCAACAGUGGGUUUAAGAGAUUCCCAUUAUGAAGUUGCUGGUACUCUGUUCAUAGUUUUUGAAUGUUUUUUAAUAUGCAAAGGUGUUCAUUUUUUCCAAAUGCUUUUUCUGUAUCUUUUGAUAGAUUCUGUAAUUUUCAUCCUGUACUCUACAAAUAUGUGUUACACUGGCUUAUUUUCAAUUAUCAAACCAACCUUGUGUUCCUGGGACAAAUCCCCCUAAGUCAUGGUAUAAUAUAUUGUUAUUCUUUAAAUGUUGCUGGGUUCCAUUUGCUAAGAUUUGUUGACUAUUUUACAUUUUCACCAAGAAGGAGUACUGGUCUGAGUUUUAUUUUCUGUAAUGUACUUAGUAUUAGAGAAUGUUAAAAACUUAUAGGUUAGGUUGGGGAAUUUUACCUCGUUUCUUUAGGAAAAAUUGGGACAGAUUGAUGUUAUAUAAACUUGGGAUUUGUUA